rnacentral:rRNA from 1 species
CGCCUAACACAUGCAAGUCGAACGAAGUAGCAAUACUUAGUGGCAGACGGGUGAGUAACAUGUGGGUAUCUGCCCUUUGGCCUGGAAUAACACGAGGAAACUUGUGCUAAUACCGGAUAAGUCUUUACGGAGAAAGCUUUAUGCACCAUUGGAUGAGCCUGCACUUGAUUAGUUUGUUGGUGGGGUAAUGGCCUACCAAGACUGUGAUCAAUAGCUGAUUUGAGAGGAUGAUCAGCCACAUUGGGACUGAGACACGGCCCAAACUCCUACGGGAGGCAGCAGUGGGGAAUCUUGCACAAUGGAGGAAACUCUGAUGCAGCGAUGCCGCGUGAGUGAAGAAGGCCCUUGGGUUGUAAAGCUCUUUCGUCGGGGAAGAAAAUGACUGUACCCGAAUAAGAAGGUCCGGCUAACUUCGUGCCAGCAGCCGCGGUAAUACGAAGGGACCUAGCGUAGUUCGGAAUUACUGGGCUUAAAGAGUUCGUAGGUGGUUGAAAAAGUUAGUGGUGAAAUCCCAGAGCUUAACUCUGGAACUGCCAUUAAAACUUUUCAGCUAGAGUAUGAUAGAGGAAAGCAGAAUUUCUAGUGUAGAGGUGAAAUUCGUAGAUAUUAGAAAGAAUACCAAUUGCGAAGGCAGCUUUCUGGAUCAUUACUGACACUGAGGAACGAAAGCAUGGGUAGCGAAGAGGAUUAGAUACCCUCGUAGUCCAUGCCGUAAACGAUGUGUGUUAGACGUUGGAAAUUUAUUUUCAGUGUCGCAGGGAAACCGAUAAACACACCGCCUGGGGAGUACGACCGCAAGGUUAAAACUCAAAUGAAUUGACGGGGACCCGCACAAGUAGUGGAGCAUGUGGUUUAAUUCGAAGAUACGCGCAGAACCUUACCAACACUUGACAUGUUCGUCGCGACUCUAAGAGAUUAGAGUUUUCGGUUCGGCCGGACGAAACACAGGUGCUGCAUGGCUGUCGUCAGCUCGUGUCGUGAGAUGUUGGGUUAAGUCCCGCAACGAGCGCAACCCUCACUUUUAGUUGCCAUCAUUAAGUUGGGCACUCUGAAAGAACUGCCAGUGAUAAGCUGGAGGAAGGUGGGGAUGACGUCAAGUCCUCAUGGCCCUUACGUGUUGGGCUACACACGUGCUACAAUGGUAUCUACAACAGGAAGCAAGACUGCGAAGUUAAGCAAAUCCCUAAAAGAUACCUCAGUUCGGAUUGCACUCUGCAACUCGAGUGCAUGAAGCUGGAAUUACUAGUAAUCGUGGAUCAGCGUGCCACGGUGAAUGCGUUCCCGGGUCUUGUACACACCGCCCGUCACACCAUGGGAGUUGGUUCUACCUUAAGGCAAGGUUUUAAACCCUUGACCACGGUAUAGUCAGCGA